AGUUGCUGCACAUUUUUAGUAUAAAUAUUAAGUAAAAAUAGUUGUAUUGUUAUGCACACUUGUAUGAAUCAUGAACUACUGAUUUUAAUAAAUUAUUAGUAAGUUAUUUGAUUGUUUUAAGUGUCUAAAACACUUACCAACUAGUCUAUGCAUAUGAUUGCACCAACGGGUCGAAACGGGUUGUUGAUAGAAAAUAGUAGAAUGGAUGUGUAAAAAACCAAGGUGUUAAGAAAUGGUAUGAAAUGUUUAAUGUAUGAAACAAGUUGCCUAACUUAGAGAAUGUUAUCAUUCUAAGUAUGGAAUUUUGAAAGAAUAAUGAACAUGAUGUAAAUACAUAAUUAUGCAUGCUAGAAGCUCAUGUAUGACUUUUGUGAUGAUGGAAUGAUAAAUUGUUAGAUUGAUUAGCAUUGUAGUAUUAUGAUACAUGUUGAACUCGUUAAGCGAUUGACACGUGAAUAGAAGUGUGAUUAGUGAUGUGUAUGAUUACGUAUACUAACUAUUGAAUGGAUGUAAUGGAAUGAGAUAAUAGGAACGUGUCAAGGAGAGCUCAAGCAUAGGAGGAUAACGGGUCAAGAUAAGGCAAGGUGACAAAUAAACUUAUUGGAAUACUCAAGGUAAGUGAUUUCUAUAAUCACUUCUUUAGUUGUUUAAGUAAUAUAAUGUUUUAAUUAUUAAGUUCAUAUGAAGUUGAGGUUAAAUCAAUGGAUUAUUUUGAUAAAUGCACGAAUGGGUCGAAUAAUUCAUAGAUGAAUAACAAGCCGAAUACGUAUAAGUUAAGGAAUUCCUUAACUCGGAUGUUGGACUUCGAGAUCACGUGAUAGAAUAUUAAAUUACAAUCAUAUAGGAAGAAACGUGAUGCAAAACGGAUGAAAAAUGAGAGAGUUAUGUCCGUUUCAGUAAGGAUUAAUGGCUAGGAAAAGUGCAGAGUUGACACGGCCGGGUGGUGAACUGACACGGCCGGGUGAAGGUUCGGUCAAAAAUAUUAUUUAUGUGAUUUAUGCGCCGUAGGCUUCGGUAUAUUAUCCGUGAACUACGACGGGCCUCCCAAACAUGAUUUCGAGUGUUUCCUUGACGAUUAUAAGUUGUAAACCCAAGUCUAAGCCUCAUGUAAUUUAUAUAAGAGCGUGAUAGAUGUAUGUAAUGAAGUUGGACAUGUAUUACAUGUAAAUGUAUACAAAAAUACGUACGGAACACGUAGGUAUGAAUACAUGAUUGUAGGUAUGAUUAAAUGUAUAUUAGGUAUGUAGAUGUGUAUGAUUGUAAGUUUGUAUGUGUGCAAGUAUGUGCGAAUGCAUGAUUUGGAUGCAUUUGAGAAUUAGCGUUACUAAUAAUGCCCUUGGGUUUGGAAUAUAAGUUGAUUGGAUGCAUUUAAAUGGUUAACGUCCUUUUUAUGAAGAUGUAGUAAAUGAAUAUGUUGAGAUUACGGGCUUGGCUAACCAAGUUAUUAUUGAGUAUGUUUGAAAGUGCAGGUUAUGAAUGUCGGACUUUCGAAGUGUUGAUAUAAUAAUGAAACGGUUAGAAUAUGCUAUGGACGUUUUAGUUUAUACAAUAUUAUAUGUUUGGUCGUCACCAUCUACUAACAGGUAAAUCCUCAAUUUUGGCGACUUGGAGAAUCGGAGCGAGCGCGUGUUCGUGUUAUGCGAUACCAAACGCUUCCGCUAGCUUGUUCAAAUGUUUUUGAUCCAAAAUUUGUUGUAUUGGUUUUUAGUAGUAUCUUGUUGAACGAAUUGUAGAAUUGUAGCUAGUUUGUUUAUGUUUAAAACAGGGGUAUGCUCGUUUUAUGGACGGGUCAUGCCCGAUUUUUUGUUAAAUUAUAGUUUGAUAAUAUCACAUUUAGGAAGGUGAAAUUAUGGGCGUAACAAGUUGGUAUCAGAGCCUAGGUUUGAGGGAUUCGAGCAAGAGUAUCAGUGCUUGAACUCAAACCGAUGGCUCGUGCAAAAGUGUGCUCGCUCCGAGAUUGCCAAUGAGGCCAAGAGCACGCGGGUUAUGUGAAGGGUAAGCGCAAUUGUUCGGAAGGAAUGAUCCGUGAAUGCGGUCUAGGACCGGCAUCAAGGCAAGUAAUAAGACGAAUUGAUCCCUGGUGAGCUUGAUGAAUGGACACGCAAUGUUACUAAUCAGAAAGGAAGGAUCAUCGUAAGGAACGUGUCAAGGAGAGCUCAAGCAUAGGAGGAUAACGGGUCAAGAUAAGGCAAGGUGACAAAUACACUUAUUGGAAUACUCAAGGUAAGUGAUUUCUAUAAUCACUUCUUUAGUUGUUUAAGUAAUAUAAUGUUUUAAUUAUUAAGUUCAUAUGAAGUUGAGGUUAAAUCAAUGGAUUAUUUUGAUAAAUGCACGAAUGGGUCGAAUAAUUCAUAGAUGAAUAACAAGCCGAAUACGUAUAAGUUAAGGAAUUCCUUAACUCGGAUGUUGGACUUCGAGAUCACGUGAUAGAAUGUUAAAUUACAAUCAUAUAGGAAGAAACGUGAUGCAAAACGGACGAAAAAUGAGAGAGUUAUGUCCGUUUCAGUAAGGAUUAAUGGCUAGGAAAAGUGCAGAGUUGACACGGCCGGGUGGUGAACUGACACGGCCGGGUGAAGGUUCUGUCAAAAAUAUUAUUUAUGUGAGUUAUGCGCCGUAGGCUUCGGUAUAUUAUCCGUGAACUACGACGGGCCUCCCAAACAUGAUUUCGAGUGUUUCCUUGACGAUUAUAAGUUGUAAACCCAAGUCUAAGCCUCAUGUAAUUUAUAUAAGAGUGUGAUAGAUGUAUGUAAUGAAGUUGGACAUGUAUUACAUGUAAAUGUAUACAAAAAUACGUACGGAACACGUAGGUAUGAAUACAUGAUUGUAGGUAUGAUUAAAUGUAUAUUAGGUAUGUAGAUGUGUAUGAUUGUAAGUUUGUAUGUGUGCAAGUAUGUGCGAAUGCAUGAUUUGGAUGCAUUUGAGAAUUAGCGUUACUAAUAAUGCCCUUGGGUUUGGAAUAUAAGUUGAUUGGAUGCAUUUAAAUGGUUAACAUCCUUUUUAUGAAGAUGUAGUAAAUGAAUAUGUUGAGAUUACGGGUUUGGCUAACCAAGUUAUUAUUGAGUAUGUUUGAAAGUGCAGGUGAUGAAUGUCGGACUUUCAAAGUGUUGAUAUAAUAAUGAAACGGUAAAUCCUCAAUUUUGGCGACUUGGAGAAUCGGAGCGAGCGCGUGUUUGUGUUAUGCUAUACCAAACGCUUCCGCUAGCUUGUUCAAAUGUUUUUGAUCCAAAAUUUGUUGUAUUGGUUUUUAGUAGUAUCUUGUUGAACGAAUUGUAGAAUUGUAGCUAGUUUGUUUAUGUUUAAAACAGGGGUAUGCUCGUUUUAUGGACGGGUCAUGCCCGAUUUUUUGUUAAAUUAUAGUUUGAUAAUAUCACAUUUAGGAAGGUGAAAUUUUGGGCGUAACA